GGGAAUAUUGGGCAAUGGAUGCAAGUCUGACCCAGCCAUGCCGCGUGCCGGAUGAAGGCCCUCAGGGUUGUAAACGGCUUUUAUUCGGGAAGAAGAGCAGGGAUGCGUCCUUGUGUGACGGUACCGAAUGAAUAAGCACCGGCUAACUCCGUGCCAGCAGCCGCGGUAAUACGGAGGGUGCGAGCGUUGUCCGGAUUUAUUGGGUUUAAAGGGUGCGUAGGUGGCUGUUUAAGUCAGUGGUGAAAUACGGUUGCUCAACAAUCGAGGUGCCAUUGAUACUGAAUAGCUUGAAAUAAUUGGAGGCUGCCGGAAUGGAUGGUGUAGCGGUGAAAUGCAUAGAUAUCAUCCAGAACACCGAUUGCGAAGGCAGGUGGCUACGAUUGGUUUGACACUGAGGCACGAAAGCAUGGGGAGCAAAC
rnacentral:rRNA from 1 species